rnacentral:rRNA from 1 species
GGCGUGCCUAACACAUGCAAGUUCGAACGGACGAGAGGGAGCUUGCUCCCUUCAAGUUAGUGGUCGGACGGGUGAGUAACGCGUGAGUAACCUGCCUUUCAGAGGGGAAUUAACGAUUUCUGAAAAGGGUUUGCUAAUACCGCAUGACAUCGUAGUAUCGCAUGGUACAGCGAUCAAAGGAGCAAUCCGCUGAAAGGAUGGACUCGCGUCCGAUUAGCUAGUUGGCGGGAUAAAGGCCCACCAAGGCGACGAUCGGUAGCCGGACUGAGAGGUUGGAUCGGCCACAUUGGGACUGAGACACGGCCCAGACUCCUACGGGAGGCAGCAGUGGGGGAUAUUGCACAAUGGGGGAAACCCUGAUGCAGCAACGCCGCGUGAAGGAAGAAGGUCUUUCGGAUUUGUAAACUUCUGUCCUCAGGGAAGAUAAUGACGGUACCUGAGGAGGAAGCUCCGGCUAACUACGUGCCAGCAGCCGCGGUAA